CCCACCGGGUAGCACAGAGCCACACUUUAAGGGGCAUUGCACUAAUAAUGGCGCUGACUAGGGAAACGUUCCCGCUGUUGGUGCCAGUUUGCAUGUUCAAACUAAAACAAUGCAACUAAUAAUGGCGUGAAAAAUGUCUCUUUGAUAUUAAUUCGGAGGACAGAUAUUAUUAAAUAUUAAAGCAUUAGACCUCUCACUAAAAGCGUCAGUCAAAAAUAAAUGAAAAGCACACAUUUAUAAAUCCCAAACUCUAAACAUAAUUUAGAAAGGUAGAUACAAAUUAUUUGUGACAUUGUGGUUACAAUAAAGAAUGUAAAUAAGAUGUAAACAAUAUGCUCUGUUUUUACUUACUUACAGUAGUGAUGGAAAGCUGGUGGCAUUUUGAAAACAGGUUUUCAAACACUUUUAGCCUGAUUAGCAGCAUAAUCAAAGUGAAGACAAUCUGCGAUAUGCUGUAUACUUACGGCCUAUUGUAAGCUGAAAGUCACACCUGUCCAGUACUCACCCCACCACAAACUCCACCCUUAACACAGUUACCGUUCAAAAACGAGCUGUUUAUCUAAAAAAAAAAAAAAAAAAAGAGGACAGACGAAAUGGACAUCGUUUUCAUCAAGCCAGCUUCUUUCUAUGGCGCUAUCUGUUCUAGGGUUAGGACCGUAACCACGAGAGGACUUUACAAUGAGGCAGAGCUGAUCACCAAAACUAAAGAGCAUACAACCAUGCCGACAACCAUUCGUGGAGAUCAGUGGAGAAAGGGCUGGACAACUGGCCGCACCGUAAAAAACGCAUGGUUGCCAAGAAAGCGACCACUGUAAUCGAUGGGGCUCAGGGUGGUACCAUUCUGCUCAUCUGAUGAAGAUGCACAUGGAUCAGAUUCAAACUUUGAAGACUGAGAUUGAGUCAUUAAAGGCAGACCAGCAUAAAAAAAACAUUGCCGCCCAGAUCUAGUGUGUGUGUGUGUGUGUGUGUAUGUGCCUGUGUGUGUGUGUGGCUGUUUGUGUGUGUCCUCGUGUGUGUGAUUGCAUCAUGGAACGUGUAAUUGCUGUAAUUUGAGAAUGGCAGUGACAUCAGCUCCUCUUGACUGUUGACCAUUAACCUCUAAAGUUUAAGGCCUGUGACUGAUCCUCUUCAAUCUCAGAGGGAUCAGCACGGGGUCAACGGUCUACACAAGUCUAAGGGCCGAAACCUGUUGCUCUUACUUUUAACAAUAAAGAAGCACUUUUAUCAACUUCCACUGCCCUCCAACAGUUGUUGUAAUUACUUUUCACUUCAAUUUGUUCCUUAAUUAAUGCAAUUUGGUUGGACAGUGUGGUAGCGGCAGUGGCUCCUUCCCCAAUACUCCAGACAGAAAGAGGGGAUAAAAGUAGAGAGAUGGAUGGAUGUGAUAUUAGGUUGCAUCAUCAGUUUUGCUUAUCUCGAAAUGAGUUCUCCUUUAACAUGUUAACCAUCCUAGGAAUACGUGGGACGCACACAUAUACACGCACCCAUCGACAUACAGUUGAAGUCGUA